UGGUGCCAGCAGCCGCGGUAAUUCCAGCUCCAAUAGCGUAUAUUAAAGUUGUUGCAGUUAAAAAGCUCGUAGUUGAAUUUCGGGAUCAAUAUGUUGGUCGUGCCAUUGGUACGUACUGGUAUCAUUGAUCUCUCCUUUCUGACGAACCAUGAUGUCAUUAAUUUGGUGUUAUGGGGAGUUAGGACUGUUACUUUGAAAAAAUUAGAGUGUUUAAAGCAGGCAUUAGCUUGAAUACAUUAGCAUGGAAUAAUGAAAUAGGACGUUUGACCCUAUUUUGUUGGUUUCUAGGAUCGACAUAAUGAUUAAUAGGGAUAGUUGGGGGCAUUAGUAUUCAAUUGUCAGAGGUGAAAUUCUUGGAUUUAUUGAAGACUAACUACUGCGAAAGCAUUUGCCAAGGAUGUUUUCAUUAAUCAAGAACGAAAGUUAGGGGAUCGAAGACGAUCAGAUACCGUCGUAGUCUUAACCAUAAACUAUGCCGACUAGGGAUCGGAUGAUGUUAAUUUUUUAAUGACUCA
rnacentral:rRNA from 1 species